GGACCUACGGGAGGCAGCAGUAGGGAAUUUUCGUCAAUGGGCGCAAGCCUGAACGAGCAAUGCCGCGUGAACGAGGAAGGUCUUCGGAUCGUAUAGAUCUGUUGAAGGGGAAAAAGAGCGGAGAGAGGAAAUGCACUCCGAUUGAUAUUACCCUUCGAGGAAGUCACGGCUAACUACGUGCCAGCAGCCGCGGUAAUACGUAGGUGGCGAGCGCUAUCCGGAUUGAUUGGGCGUAAAGGGUGCGUAGGCGGCCUGCUAAGCCUGGAGUGAAAGGGACCGGCUCCA
rnacentral:rRNA from 1 species